GUGAGGAAUCCGGCAUCCAAGAUGUUGGAGGUUAGAGAAGACUGGCACGCAGCAAAUCUUUCCCCUGUCCCUUCGGAGCACCAAAUGCCGCCCAAACUCUCCAGAUAACUGUUCCUGCGUCUCUGAGGCGGGAACUGAAGGCCCAGAUUUCCAUCUCCGCAGAGGAAGCCAGUGCCUUGGCCCCACCCAGCCAUUGUGUCAGACCAGGGUUGUGAGUGUUGAGGGUGGUGGGGAAGGGGAUCCCCUGGAUCUGUAGAGUGACUUGCUGCUCACUAUUCUGUGUUCCCAGUUCCUCGGGAGGCCCCAGCUCUCAGUGUUGCACUGGGAAGCUCCCACAGCGAAUGUCCUGGAAGUCAAUGCUGGGGGAGAAAGGAGGGAGGGAGACUGGUGGGGGUUGCAGGGGCAAGUUCCUGUCAGAUGUUACUCCGUGGGCACACAUCAAGACACUGGGAAGAAAAAUCAGCCUUAAUGGUUCCACUGUUUACACCUGGAUGGAGCUUGCCGCUCAAUCGUUCUGCCACGCCCACUGCUGGAGCCUGCCGCUUUCCUGUUCCGAAGCCAUCACGUGGUCACCCUGCUACUGGAUUCCAAGAUUAUUUGGCGUGAAUCGGGCCCCCUUCCCCUGCUUCAUAACUGCAUGCAGAAUAGUAAAAUUGAGCUUUGAUCAGAA
rnacentral:lncRNA from 1 species